rnacentral:rRNA from 1 species
GAGUUUGAUCGUGGCUCAGGAUGAACGCUAGCGGCAGGCCUAAUACAUGCAAGUCGAACGGUAAAUAUUUUAGCAAUAGAAUAUGAGAGUGACGUACGGGUGCGUAACACGUAUGCAACCUACCCUUUACAGGCGGAUAGCUCGGGGAAACUCGAAUUAACCCGCCAUAAGAUCAUAGAGUGGCAUCACUUAGUGAUUAAAUUCCAAGAGGUAAAGGAUGGGCAUGCGUCUGAUUAGUUAGUUGGUGCGGGUAACGGCCCACCAAGACGAUGAUCAGUAGGGGAACUGAGAGGUUGAUCCCCCACACUGGCACUGAGAUACGGGCCAGACUCCUACGGGAGGCAGCAGUAGGGAAUAUUGGUCAAUGGAUGGAAGUCUGAACCAGCCAUGCCGCGUGCAGGAAGAAGGCCUUCUGGGUUGUAAACUGCUUUUGCCAGGGGCUAAAAGCUCAUGCGUGAGAAAUUGAAAGUACCUGGUGAAUAAGCCACGGCUAACUACGU